rnacentral:rRNA from 1 species
UGGGGAAUUUUGGACAAUGGGGGCAACCCUGAUCCAGCAAUGCCGCGUGAGUGAAGAAGGCCUUCGGGUUGUAAAGCUCUUUUGUCAGGGAAGAAACGGUAGUAGCGAAUAACUACUACUAAUGACGGUACCUGAAGAAUAAGCACCGGCUAACUACGUGCCAGCAGCCGCGGUAAUACGUAGGGUGCAAGCGUUAAUCGGAAUUACUGGGCGUAAAGCGUGCGCAGGCGGUUGUGUAAGUCAGAUGUGAAAUCCCCGGGCUCAACCUGGGAAUUGCAUUUGAGACUGCACGGCUAGAGUGUGUCAGAGGGGGGUAGAAUUCCACGUGUAGCAGUGAAAUGCGUAGAUAUGUGGAGGAAUACCGAUGGCGAAGGCAGCCCCCUGGGAUAACACUGACGCUCAUGCACGAAAGCGUGGGGAGCAAACAGGAUUAGAUACCCUCGUAGUCCCUGAGCGGGCUGGCAAGGCG